rnacentral:misc_RNA from 1 species
UCGCUUGGCAGCUAUGGCUGGAAAGUACAAGGUAUAUUUAGUAAUGGCUGUAAUAGAGAGGGAUGGAUAUACUCUCUAUUGCACUAUGCUGUUCUUUGAUUCUCAAGGUUAUUACCUGGGAAAGCAUCGAAAACUCAUGCCAACAGGCACCGAGCAUAUAGUUUGGGGAUUUGGGGAUGGGUCAACAAUUCCUGUUAUUGACAGUCCAAUUCGGAAAAUUGGUGGCGCUAUUUGUUAGGAAAAUAGAAUGCCACUUCUGAGGACAGCUAUGUAUGGUAAAGGCGUUGAGAUAUAUCGUGCACCAACUGCGGAUGCCAGAGACACUUGCAAGCAACAAUGAGGCACAUUGCUCUUGAAGGUGGAUGUUUUGUGCUAUCUGCUAAUCAGUUCUGCCGAAGGAAAGAU